UACGGAGGGGGCUAGCGUUGUUCGGAAUUACUGGGCGUAAAGGGCGCGUAGGCGGCGCGAUAAGUUGGGCGUGAAAGGCCCGGGCUCAACCCGGGGACUGCGCUUGAUACUGUCGCGCUGUGAGUCCGGGAGAGGAUGGCGGAAUUCCCAGUGUAGAGGUGAAAUUCGUAGAUAUUGGGAAGAACACCAGUGGCGAAGGCGGCUCACUGGCCCGGUACUGACGCUGAGGUGCGAAAGCGUGGGGAGCAAACAGG
rnacentral:rRNA from 1 species